GCUGAACGCUGGCGGAAUGCUUUACACAUGCAAGUCGAACGGCAGCACGGACUUCGGUCUGGUGGCGAGUGGCGAACGGGUGAGUAAUGUAUCGGAACGUGCCCAGUCGUGGGGGAUAACGUAGUGAAAAUUACGCUAAUACCGCAUACGAUCUAUGGAUGAAAGCGGGGGAUCGCAAGACCUCGCGCGAUUAGAGCGGCCGAUAUCAGAUUAGGUAGUUGGUGGGGUAAAGGCCCACCAAGCCAACGAUCUGUAGCUGGUCUGCGAGGACGACCAGCCACACUGGAACUGAGACACGGUCCAGCCUCCUACGGGAGGCAGCAGUGGGGAAUUUUGGACAAUGGGCGAAAGCCUGAUCCAGCCAUUCCGCGUGCAGGAUGAAGGCCCUCGGGUUGUAAACUGCUUUUGUACAGAACGAAAAGGUUUCUACUAAUACUAGGAGCUCAUGACGGUACUGUAAGAAUAAGCACCGGCUAACUACGUGCCAGCAGCCGCCGUAA
rnacentral:rRNA from 1 species